UACAGAGGGUGCAAGCGUUGUUCGGAAUUAUUGGGCGUAAAGCGCGUGUAGGCGGCUUUGCAAGUCGGGUGUGAAAGCCCUCAGCUCAACUGAGGAAGUGCGCCCGAAACUGCAGAGCUUGAGUGCCGGAGAGGGUGGCGGAAUUCCCCAAGUAGAGGUGAAAUUCGUAGAUAUGGGGAGGAACACCUGGGGCGAAGGCGGCCAGCUGGGCCGUCCCUGACGCUGAGGCGCGAAGGCGUGGGGAGCGAACGGG
rnacentral:rRNA from 1 species